GGGCCCGCACAAGCGGUGGAGCAUGUGGUUUAAUUCGAUGCAACGCGAAGAACCUUACCAUCCCUUGACAUCCUUGAAAUAAAGUGGAGACAUUUUAGUGCCUUCGGGAAUCAAGUGACAGGUGCUGCAUGGCUGUCGUCAGCUCGUGUCGUGAGAUGUUGGGUUAAGUCCCGCAACGAGCGCAACCCUUGUCCUUAGUUGCCAGCAUUAAGUUGGGCACUCUAAGAGACUGCCGGUGACAAACCGGAGAAGGUGGGGACGACGUCAAGUCAUCAUGGCCCUUACGGGGAUGGGCUACACACGUGCUACAAUGGUGGAUACAGAGGGAAGCAAGACGGCGACGUGGAGC
rnacentral:rRNA from 1 species